rnacentral:tmRNA from 1 species
GCUAUUCAAAUCUUAAUCCUUCUGCCUUAUAUAUAAGACGUUGGGUAACCAACUACGGCAAUAAACUGAUGUAUGGAAUAGACGGAACGGACCCGGGGGCGGUACCCGGCGCCUCCACCAAUCUCCCUUAAGAUUGGCCCAAAGUACAAGAUGCGGGGGCGAAACAGGAUCGACGUACGUAAUAAAGAUAUAACUUUUGCUCAGCAUGAUACCGCUGUGACGGAUCAAAUUUUGUAAAUGCAAACGAUAAUGAAGCAUUUGCUGUAGCAGCCUAACAGCUCGUUACGCGGGGUCCGGAGGGCACCUAGCAACAGAAGCCCUUCACU